AGUAUGGACAAGUUCCUAAAAACAUCAUGUAAUCAAUAACUAAAAACUAAGACUGAUCUUCAAUUUAAGCUGAAACAAUCAGCCACCAGAUGAAUGAUUGUAUUGAGUGAUAACUGACAGCUGUAGUCUGAGCUCAAACAAUGUGUCAAAACUGGUAAGAGACCAAACCUUUAAUGUUUGUCUUCUUAUAGCAAUGAGCAGCAUCAGCAUAAGCAUUUGCAGCUU
rnacentral:lncRNA from 1 species